GAGGCCAGCUGCGGACUGGCAGCCAAGAGUGUCAGACGUCUGAGCUGAGAAUAGAGUCCUGAGGGUACUCGUGGCAUCUUGGGUUCUCUUGGAAAGUAGCAGCCACCAAGAUAUUAAAGAGAAUAGAAGGCAGCCAAGUGAAAAAGAAGAAAGAGGAGGAAGACAAGAAGAGAGAGGGAAAAAGAGAGGGAGAACAAGAAGAAAGAGACUCACCAGAUGCUGAUGCCUUGAUCAUGGACUUCCAAACCUCU
rnacentral:lncRNA from 1 species